CAGCCGCCGCGGUAAAACGAGGGGUGCAAGCGUUAUUCGGAUUGAUUGGGUGUAAAGGGCUCGCAGGCGGUUUCUUAAGUCUGAUGUGAAAGCCCCCGGCUCAACCGGGGAGAGUCAUUGGAAACUGGGAAACUUGAGUGCAGAAGAGGAGAGUGGAAUUCCACGUGUAGCGGUGAAAUGCGUAGAGAUGUGGAGGAACACCAGUGGCGAAGGCGACUCUCUGGUCUGUAACUGACGCUGAGGAGCGAAAGCGUGGGGAGCGAACAGGAUUAGAUACCCGGGUAGUCCCUGUCUCUUAUAC
rnacentral:rRNA from 1 species